rnacentral:rRNA from 1 species
CGAUCCUACGGGGCGCAGCAGUGAGGAAUAUUGGUCAAUGGGCGGGAGCCUGAACCAGCCAAGUUGCGUGAAGGAAGAAGGUACUUAGUAUUGUAAACUUCUUUUGUCGGGGAACAAAGGCGGAGACGCGUCUCCGGAUGAGUGUACCCGAAGAAAAAGCAUCGGCUAACUCCGUGCCAGCAGCCGCGGUAAUACGGAGGAUGCGAGCGUUAUCCGGAUUUAUUGGGUUUAAAGGGUGCGCAGGCGGGAGAUCAAGUCAGCGGUAAAAAGUCGGGGCGCAACCCCGGCCGGCCGGUGAA